rnacentral:rRNA from 1 species
AGUGAACGCUGGCGGUAGGCCUAACACAUGCAAGUCGAACGGCAGCACAGUAAGAGCUUGCUCUUACGGGUGGCGAGUGGCGGACGGGUGAGGAAUACAUCGGAAUCUACUUUUUCGUGGGGGAUAACGUAGGGAAACUUACGCUAAUACCGCAUACGACCUACGGGUGAAAGCAGGGGAUCUUCGGACCUUGCGCGAUUGAAUGAGCCGAUGUCGGAUUAGCUAGUUGGCGGGGUAAAGGCCCACCAAGGCGACGAUCCGUAGCUGGUCUGAGAGGAUGAUCGGCCACACUGGAACGGAGACACGGUCCAGGCGCCUACGGGAGGCAGCAGUGGGGAAUAUUGGACAAUGGGCGCAAGCCUGAUCCAGCCAUACCGCGUGGGUGAAGAAGGCCUUCGGGUUGUAAAGCCCUUUUGUUGGGAAAGAAAAGCAGCAGGUUAAUACCCCGCUGUUCUGACGGUACCCAAAGAAUAAGCACCGGCUAACUUCGUG